rnacentral:rRNA from 1 species
CCCCUAGAUGUUCUGGGCCGCACGCGCGCUACACUGAACAGUUCAACAAGUCUUAACCUUGGCCGAUAGGUCUGGGUAAUCUUUGAACGCUGUUCGUGAUUGGGAUAGACCUUUGCAAUUAUGGGUCUUCAACGAGGAAUUCCUAGUAAACGCAAGUCAUCAGCUUGCAUUGAUUACGUCCCUGCCCUUUGUACACACCGCCCGUCGCACCUACCGAUUGAAUGGUCCGGUGAAAUCUCGGGACGGCGGCUUGGUCGCUUGCGUCCGACUGCUGAAACUUGAUUAAACCAUAUCAUUUACAGGAAGGUGAAGUCGUAACA